UACGAAGGGAGCUAGCGUUGUCCGGAAUCACUGGGCGUAAAGCGCACGUAGGCGGAUGUGUCAGUCAGGGGUGAAAUCCCGGAGCUCAACUUCGGAACUGCCUUUGAUACAGCACGUCUUGAGUCCGGAAGAGGUGGGUGGAAUUCCUAGUGUAGAGGUGAAAUUCGUAGAUAUUAGGAAGAACACCGGUGGCGAAGGCGGCCCACUGGUCCGGUACUGACGCUGAGGUGCGAAAGCGUGGGGAGCAAACAGG
rnacentral:rRNA from 1 species